rnacentral:siRNA from 1 species
CAUCUCACUAAUUCAUCUGAAUG